rnacentral:rRNA from 1 species
CUACGGGCUGCUCCAGUGGGGAAUAUUGCACAAUGGACGAAAGUCUGAUGCAGCAACGCCGCGUGGAGGAUGACACAUUUCGGUGCGUAAACUCCUUUUAUAUAGGAAGAUAAUGACGGUACUAUAUGAAUAAGCGCCGGCUAACUCCGUGCCAGCAGCCGCGGUAAUACGGAGGGCGCAAGCGUUACUCGGAAUCACUGGGCGUAAAGAGCGUGUAGGCGGAUAGAUAAGUCAGGAGUGAAAUCCUAUGGCUCAACCAUAGAACUGCUCUUGAAACUGUCUAUCUAGAAUAUGGGAGAGGUAGAUGGAAUUUCUGGUGUAGGGGUAAGAUCCGUAGAGAUCAGAAGGAAUACCGAUUGCGAAGGCGAUCUACUGGAACAUUAUUGACGCUGAGACGCGAAAGCGUGGGGAGCAAACAGGAUUAGAUACCCGGGUAGUC